rnacentral:rRNA from 1 species
AUUGAACGCUGGCGGCAGGCUUAACACAUGCAAGUCGAGCGGGGGAAGGUAGCUUGCUACUGGACCUAGCGGCGGACGGGUGAGUAAUGCUUAGGAAUCUGCCUAUUAGUGGGGGACAACAUCUCGAAAGGGAUGCUAAUACCGCAUACGUCCUACGGGAGAAAGCAGGGGAUCUUCGGACCUUGCGCUAAUAGAUGAGCCUAAGUCGGAUUAGCUAGUUGGUGGGGUAAAGGCCUACCAAGGCGACGAUCUGUAGCGGGUCUGAGAGGAUGAACCGCCACACUGGGACUGAGACACGGCCCAGACUCCUACGGGAGGCAGCAGUGGGGAAUAUUGGACAAUUGGGGGAACCCUGAUCCAGCCAUGCCGCGUGUGUGAAGAAGGCCUUAUGGUUGUAAAGCACUUUAAGCGAGGAGGAGGCUACUCUAGUUAAUACCUAGGGAUAGUGGACGUUACUCGCAGAAUAAGCACCGGCUAACACUGUGCCAGCCGCCGCAGUAA